rnacentral:tRNA from 1 species
CGGCGUGUGGCGCAGUCUGGUAGCGCACUUGCUUGGGGUGCAAGGGGUCGUCGGUUCAAAUCCGGCCACGCCGACCA